UGUGUAGGCGGGAUUGUAAGUCAGAGGUGAAAUCCUACAGCUCAACUGUAGAACUGCCUUUGAUACUGUUAUUCUUGAGUAUCGGAGAGGUCGCUGGAAUUCGUGGUGUAGCGGUGAAAUGCGUAGAUAUCACGAGGAACACCAGAGGCGUAGGCGGGCGACUGGACGAUUACUGACGCUGAGGCACGAAAGCGUGGGGAGCAAACAGGAUUAGAUACCCUGGUAGUCC
rnacentral:rRNA from 1 species